rnacentral:lncRNA from 1 species
CAUUAGUAAGGAAAUUCUCCCUUACCUUAGAAUUGUAAAACCUUCAAAUUUUUUACUAUGACUUCUCCUUCCUAGCUCUCCCUCUUCUAAUCCAAUAGCUUCCUCUUCUCUCCAAAAGUUCUAAUUUUUCAUGUACUAUAACCUAGCCUCUAACCCAAACUUCACUAUUUAUUUUAUCCUAAUUUUACCAUUUUUAACUAUUACACUAUGACCCAACUUUUUCAAAAU